rnacentral:rRNA from 1 species
GAUGAACGCUGGCGGCGUGCUUAACACAUGCAAGUCGAACGGAAAGGCCCUGCUUUUGUGGGGUGCUCGAGUGGCGAACGGGUGAGUAACACGUGAGUAACCUGCCCUUGACUUUGGGAUAACUUCAGGAAACUGGGGCUAAUACCGGAUAGGAGCUCCUGCUGCAUGGGGGGGGUUGGAAAGUUUCGGCGGUUGGGGAUGGACUCGCGGCUUAUCCGCUUGUUGGUGGGGUAGUGGCUUACCAAGGCUUUGACGGGUAGCCGGCAUGAGAGGGUGACCGGCCACAUUGGGACUGAGAUACGGCCCAGACUCCUACGGGAGGCAGCAGUGGGGAGUAUUGCACAGUGGGCGGAAGCCUGAUGCAGCAGCGCCGCGUGCGGGAUGACGGCCUUCGGGUUGUAAACCGCUUUCGCCUGUGACGAAGCGUGAGUGACGGUAAUGGGUAAAGAAGCACCGGCUAACUACGUG